GAUCAUGGCUCAGGAUGAACGCUGGCGGCGUGCCUAACACAUGCAAGUCGAACGAUGAAACCGCCCUCGGGCGGACAUGAAGUGGCGAACGGGUGAGUAACACGUGACCGACCUGCCCCCCGCCCAGGGACAGCCCCCCGAAAGGGGGAUUAAUACCUGGUACUCCGGGAGCGGCGCAUGCCGCAUCCGGGAAAGCUCUCGCGGCGGGGGAUGGGGUCGCGGCCCAUCAGGUAGACGGCGGGGUAGAGGCCCACCGUGCCGACG
rnacentral:rRNA from 1 species